rnacentral:rRNA from 1 species
AUUGAACGCUGGCGGCAGGCCUAACACAUGCAAGUCGAGCGGUAGAGAGAAGCUUGCUUCUCUUGAGAGCGGCGGACGGGUGAGUAAUGCCUAGGAAUCUGCCUGGUAGUGGGGGAUAACGUUCGGAAACGGACGCUAAUACCGCAUACGUCCUACGGGAGAAAGCAGGGGACCUUCGGGCCUUGCGCUAUCAGAUGAGCCUAGGUCGGAUUAGCUAGUUGGUGAGGUAAUGGCUCACCAAGGCGACGAUCCGUAACUGGUCUGAGAGGAUGAUCAGUCACACUGGAACUGAGACACGGUCCAGACUCCUACGGGAGGCAGCAGUGGGGAAUAUUGGACAAUGGGCGAAAGCCUGAUCCAGCCAUGCCGCGUGUGUGAAGAAGGUCUUCGGAUUGUAAAGCACUUUAAGUUGGGAGGAAGGGUUGUAGAUUAAUACUCUGCAAUUUUGACGUUACCGACAGAAUAAGCACCGGCUAACUCUGUGCCAGCAGCCGCGGUAAUACAGAGGGUGCAAGCGUUAAUCGGAAUUACUGGGCGUAAAGCGCGCGUAGGUGGUUUGUUAAGUUGGAUGUGAAAUCCCCGGGCUCAACCUGGGAACUGCAUUCAAAACUGACUGACUAGAGUAUGGUAGAGGGUGGUGGAAUUUCCUGUGUAGCGGUGAAAUGCGUAGAUAUAGGAAGGAACACCAGUGGCGAAGGCGACCACCUGGACUAAUACUGACACUGAGGUGCGAAAGCGUGGGGAGCAAACAGGAUUAGAUACCCUGGUAGUCCACGCCGUAAACGAUGUCAACUAGCCGUUGGAAGCCUUGAGCUUUUAGUGGCGCAGCUAACGCAUUAAGUUGACCGCCUGGGGAGUACGGCCGCAAGGUUAAAACUCAAAUGAAUUGACGGGGGCCCGCACAAGCGGUGGGGCAUGUGGUUUAAUUCGAAGCAACGCGAAGAACCUUACCAGGCCUUGACAUCCAAUGAACUUUCUAGAGAUAGAUUGGUGCCUUCGGGAACAUUGAGACAGGUGCUGCAUGGCUGUCGUCAGCUCGUGUCGUGAGAUGUUGGGUUAAGUCCCGUAACGAGCGCAACCCUUGUCCUUAGUUACCAGCACGUCAUGGUGGGCACUCUAAGGAGACUGCCGGUGACAAACCGGAGGAAGGUGGGGAUGACGUCAAGUCAUCAUGGCCCUUACGGCCUGGGCUACACACGUGCUACAAUGGUCGGUACAGAGGGUUGCCAAGCCGCGAGGUGGAGCUAAUCCCACAAAACCGAUCGUAGUCCGGAUCGCAGUCUGCAACUCGACUGCGUGAAGUCGGAAUCGCUAGUAAUCGCGAAUCAGAAUGUCGCGGUGAAUACGUUCCCGGGCCU